GUGGGGAAUAUUGGACAAUGGGCGAAAGCCUGAUCCAGCCAUGCCGCGUGUGUGAAGAAGGUCUUCGGAUUGUAAAGCACUUUAAGUUGGGAGGAAGGGCAGUAAGUUAAUACCUUGCUGUUUUGACGUUACCGACAGAAUAAGCACCGGCUAACUUCGUGCCAGCAGCCGCGGUAAUACGAAGGGUGCAAGCGUUAAUCGGAAUUACUGGGCGUAAAGCGCGCGUAGGUGGUUCAGCAAGUUGAAGGUGAAAUCCCCGGGCUCAACCUGGGAACUGCCUCCAAAACUACUGAGCUAGAGUACGGUAGAGGGUAGUGGAAUUUCCUGUGUAGCGGUGAAAUGCGUAGAUAUAGGAAGGAACAUCCGUGGCGAAGGCGGCCAUCUGGACCAGCACUGACACUGAGGCACGAAAGCGUGGGGAGCAAACAGGAUUAGAAACCCGAGUAGUCC
rnacentral:rRNA from 1 species